AGUCUGUAUUGUCAAACACGGAAGAAGAAGGAUACAACCAUAAAUAAACCAAGAAGUUUAUGAAGAAGGGAUCACUGGAUUUUGUCACUUUGGUACAAGAAACAGGAAAGGAUAUCAUAGACAACCUUACUUAUACGGAAGCAUAGGAGCUGUUGAAGGAAAUUGCUGCAAGACAGUCAGCAGUUAUCACUGACAGCCUGUCCUGGCCCAGCUUGGACCAUCCUCAAGCUAACCAUGAUGGUGUGUUUGCAAGAAUUGUCCAUUUGGUAGACCAUGAUGAAGACCAGCUUUGUUGUAGCAUGGCCUGACAAUACUGUACAAGCCAGAGACCAAAAAAGGGUUAAGUGGUGACUGAUCCUCUCAUCCUCCUUAUCCAGGAAACGUUUCGGAACAACGUGUUGGCACUGAAGAUGUGGAGGACAGAGAUUGAUCUCAGUACAUCCUUUGAAUACAUGGACACCUUCAAAGGGACGACAACAAAACUGUACCUGCCUUUUUUUUGAAAGGAAGUAGUUAAUAAAAUUAUUGUUAACAGCUUUUUUAGUCUUGUUGUUUAAGAAUGCUUUCAACAUUUAAGUGGAUAAACGGUUGUUUUAAAUUUGAAUCUUCAGUAAUGCAUUCUUUAUUAAAUGAUGUAAUCUUAUUUCUUUCAAUAUAGCGUAAAUAAUAAGAACAUAAUUAUCCUUUGUAUACAAAAUGAAAACCAAGUUUACAGUUCUAUUAAUCAUUAUUUAUUUAUCUUGUUCUUUUGUCAGAAAUAUUACAGGGGCAUACAUACAGUAUUCCUUAAAUAAAAGGGGCAGUUCUUAGAAAAUUAACAUGUAUUUUAGCAAUGCAUAUUCAAACUUUUUCCACAUUUAUAACCAGCAACAAUAUGUAAGUAUUAUCAGGGCUCGACAUUAACUUUUGAAGCCACUUGUCCAGUUGGACAAGUAGACCAUAAUUUCACUUGUCCUGACCAAAAAGCAACUUGUCCUGACCAUUAUAGAUUAUUCUGCUCAGUACUUUGCAAAAUAAUGAAAUAAUACAAAAUGCUCAAGUCAUAAAGACUUGAAUCGUUCAAAAUACAUGUAAACAUAAUUGUAGGCAAUUUCAAUACAAAAAAAAACUGACUACAAUAACAGGAAAACUCAAGAUUAUUGAUUUUUAAACAUUAUACAAAGCCAUAAUACCUGACAAAAACUUGUGUGUUGCCAACAUCAAACAAAAAAUGUUAAAAGUGAUGUAUAUGUACAGUACUUAACUGAUAUUUAAACAAAACAAAAUCAUUCUAUACAUAGAGAGGAUGUCACUAUGUAAAUUGUCUGUAAGAUCGGUGUGUACCAGUGUCGUAAAAUGCGUAUUCUUUACAAGGGAGAAUAUUCUUGUUAUCUUGGCAAAGAAACAAAUGUUAAGGGUUGCUUCCCUUGUGAACAGUACAGUGUAGUACAUGUAUCACAUGGAACUAUCAGAAUAUCUCGGGCUUCGACGAUUAAACGUAUACACAAUAUACUCAGAAAAGUUGAGUGAUAUCUCCACAGAAAUAAUGGCUUUAAAGGCAUUUUUUCUAAGUUAUACAAUAAUAAUGACCACUUGUCCCGUCGGACGAGCCCUGAUUAUAAUGUAACACAAAUGAAUACUAUGAUUUUACUACUGAUUUUGCCGUGCCUGUCAUCAAAUAAACAUGUUUUACUGAAAGUUUCUUAAAAGAUGUUAUGUGGAAGACUUAAUCAAUCAUUUAAUAAAUAUUUGAGCCUCGCUCUGGGAAAAGGGGGUUUAAUGCAUGUACUUAAGGUUGUCCAAGAUUAGGCUGUGCAGACUGCACAGGCUAAUCAGGGGCAACACUUUCCGCC